rnacentral:rRNA from 1 species
ACUAGACUUCGGUUUAGUGGAAAGUGGCAGACGGGUGAGUAACGCGUGGGAAUCUACCUUUGAGUGGGGAAUAACAACUAGAAAUGGUUGCUAAUACCGCAUAUACCCUUCGGGGGAAAGGCUUCGGCCGCUCUUAGAUGAGCCCGCGUACGAUUAGUUUGUUGGUAAGGUAAAGGCUUACCAAGACUACGAUCGUUAGCUGGUUUGAGAGGAUGAUCAGCCACACUGGGACUGAGACACGGCCCAGACUCCUACGGGAGGCAGCAGUGGGGAAUAUUGGACAAUGGGCGAAAGCCUGAUCCAGCCAUGCCGCGUGAGUGAAGAAGGCCUUAGGGUUGUAAACUCUUUCGGCAGGGAAGAUAAUGACGGUACCCGCAGAAGAAGCUCCGGCUAACUCCGUGCCAGCAGCCGCGGUAAUACGGAGGGGGCAAGCGUUGCUCGGAAUUACUGGGCGUAAAGCGAGCGUAGGCGGUUAAUCAAGUUGGUGGUGAAAGCCCAGAGCUUAACUCUGGAACUGCCAUCAAAACUGGUUGACUAGAGAUUGGUAGAGGAAAAUGGAAUUCCUAGUGUACAGGUGAAAUUCAUAGAUAUUGAGAAGAACACCAGUGGCUAAGGCGAUUUUCUGGGCCAAUUCUGACGCUGAAGUUCGAAAG